AAGGCAGCGAUCAGUAGCUGGUCUGAGAGGACGAUCAGCCACACUGGGACUGAGACACGGGCCAGACUCCUACGGGAGGCAGCAGUGGGGAAUUUUCCGCAAUGGGCGAAAGCCUGACGGAGCAAGACCGCGUGAGGGAGGAAGGCUCUUGGGUUGUAAACCUCUUUUCUCAGGGAAGAAGCUCUGACGGUACCUGAGGAAUCAGCCUCGGCUAACUCCGUGCCAGCAGCCGCGGUAAAUACGGAGGAGGCAAGCGUUAUCCGGAAUUAUUGGGCGUAAAGCGUCCGCAGGUGGCGAUUCAAGUCUGCUGUCAAAGCACGGGGCUUAACUCCGUUAAGGCAGUGGAAACUGAAUAGCUAGAGUGCCGUAGGGGUAGAGGGAAUUCCCGGUGUAGCGGUGAAAUGCGUAGAGAUCGGGAAGAACAUCGGUGGCGAAAGCGCUCUACUGGACGGCAACUGACACUCAGGGACGAAAGCUAGGGGAGCGAAUGGGAUUAGAUACCCCAGUAGUCCUAGCUGUAAACGAUGGAUACUAGGUGUAGCUUGUAUCGACCCGAGCUGUGCCGAAGCUAACGCGUUAAGUAUCCCGCCUGGGGAGUACGCACGCAAGUGUGAAACUCAAAGGAAUUGACGGGGGCCCGCACAAGCGGUGGAGUAUGUGGUUUAAUUCGAUGCAACGCGAAGAACCUUACCAGGGCUUGACAUGUCCGGAAUCCCGGUGAAAGCUGGGAGUGCCUUCGGGAGCCGGAACACAGGUGGUGCAUGGCUGUCGUCAGCUCGUGUCGUGAGAUGUUGGGUUAAGUCCCGCAACGAGCGCAACCCUCGUCUUUAGUUGCCAGCAUUAAGUUGGGCACUCUAGAGAGACUGCCGGUGACAAACCGGAGGAAGGUGGGGAUGACGUCAAGUCAGCAUGCCCCUUACGCUCUGGGCGACACACGUACUACAAUGGUCGGGACAGAGGGCAGCGAACCUGCGAAGGCAAGCUAAUCCCAGCAAACUCGGCCUCAGUUCAGAUCGCAGGCUGCAACUCGCCUGCGUGAAGGAGGAAUCGCUAGUAAUCGCCGGUCAGAAUACGGCGGUGAUCCGUUCCCGGGCAUUGACACACCGCCCGUCACACCAUGGAGCUGCCACGCCCGAAGUCGU
rnacentral:rRNA from 1 species